rnacentral:rRNA from 1 species
UACGUAGGUGGCAAGCGUUGUCCGGAAUUAUUGGGCGUAAAGCGCGCGCAGGUGGUUUCUUAAGUCUGAUGUGAAAGCCCACGGCUCAACCGUGGAGGGUCAUUGGAAACUGGGGAACUUGAGUGCAGGAGAGAAGAGUGGAAUUCCACGUGUAGCGGUGAAAUGCGUAGAGAUGUGGAGGAACACCAGUGGCGAAGGCGGGUCUCUGGGCAGUAACUGACGCUGAGGAGCGAAAGCGUGGGGAGCGAACAGG